CAUAAAUGCUACAUCGGCAGAUUGAAUUUAAAAAAGAUUAAUAAAGUACUUCAAAUUCAAAUAUAAACGUUAUAUUUGUUCGGAAUAGUAAUAAUUUUUUUCUCUGCCAAAGAAAGAAAACAAAAAAGAAGUUCGCCUAUAUAUAGCCAGUAUACUUUUAUUUUUCCGUGAUCCGGAUCGCGGGCCUCGCGGGGUUUUCUGAAAGUGUGCACGGAGAACACACGUGUUUCCGUUUCAACGAAAACAAACAAACACAGCUUCACCGUGACUGUCACAGCGAACGCUUGUAUUUUACAUCUUUAAAACGACCUGAUGUCAGAAGAAGAAGAUGCCCUGGAUCCCCUGUUGCAGGAUGACCCAAACGAUCAUGCAUUCAGUAUAAAUACGUACAUGGUAUUGACAUCCCAAUAUUUAGUGGGAAGUUUCCAGGUAUCAUCCGCUAGCGACAGUCUACUGACAAAUCCAGACAUGCAUUGGAAGGAUGCUGAUGUGGAGGACACAGGAACACCUGAUCCCAAAACUGUGGCAUUUCAUUCGGGGUGACAACCUGGCUUUCAGUUCGAAUGACUCUUUGAGGUUGAAUAUAGGGUUUAAUCAGUAUAAAUGUGAUUAACAUUCAAAUAAAUCCAGAUAAUACAUUCACAAUUGGAAUCAUGGCAUUAUGGUACACUGAUAUGUGUGUACCAUUUUACUGUGUUUUUUUUUUUUUUUUUUUUUUUUUUUUUUUUGCUGCAUAACUAGGGAUCGUAUACAUACAAAAUGAGACAAUUUCUAAUUAGUUUCUAAUUAUAAGGUAUGACACGUUUUAAGGUAUGGUGGCCAAUACUGAUUUUAUUUUUAUUUGCAAUUUUCUUUCAGAUAUGGGACUCUAUUAUUCGGAAAACUGCAGAUUUUAUGAAGCUGUCUUUGACAGAAGAUUUGGUUUUCUCCAUCUGUGUUGCCACCAACCAUUAUGCUGAGAUAGUCAUAACUAGGGGGAAGGGUUGCCAUAUACUUCCCAAGGAAGUUUGCAGCCUCUCACUGAAGAGGAACUGUACAGAUUUUUGUGCAUUAUCUUAUACACGCCUGCUGUGAAGUUCCAGUCGAUAGACAGAUAUUGGUCAACGCAUGCCCCUGUCGGAACAACUCGUUAUCAAGAAUUAUGUCUAGAAAUAGGUUUCAAGAGGUUGAAUAUAAGAACAUUUUUGUUAAAUAUGAUGCAAGUACAUUUGAAUCUAGUGAUUGAAAGUAAGUACUUGAACAUUCGUUUAUGUUGAACUUGGAGAGGAAAAAUGGUUAAUACUUUUUGAUAACAUUUGAUAAGGUGUUGUUGCUUAGCAACCAAAUAUAAUUGAAUAAAAAUAGAUUAUUUUAGAUUAACAAUAAUUGAAAGAUCUUUGUUUUAAUGUUGCAAUACUUAUUAUAUUUAAUGGAACAUAAUGGCAAAACGUCAUAUUAUUAGAAAAUGAUGGACAAGUAUAUAAAGUACGAAGUUUCCAUUUGAUGACCUUUGAUCUUAAUUCUCUUGAUUAUAUUUUUUGUUAAAAACCUUUUAAAAUGAUUAAGAUCUAUUUAAAGAUUAUAUUUUUAAAAUAAUGUGACAUUUACUAAUCAUCAUGGAUUGUAAUUACGUUUAAAUUGUGUCGAAUGGAUGCAGAAAGGCAAAUUAUGGUCAAAAUUGUACUAUGAGUGUUGUUACUUAGCAACCAAAAAUAUUUGUUUGUCAAUAAAAUUGAUUAGUUUGA